UACGUAGGUGGCAAGCGUUGUCCGGAUUUACUGGGCGUAAAGAGCGCGCAGGCGGUCGUUCAAGUCGCGUGUGAAAGCCCCCGGCUCAACUGGGGAGGGUCACGCGAUACUGAUCGACUCGAAGGCAGGAGAGGGAAGUGGAAUUCCCGGUGUAGUGGUGAAAUGCGUAGAUAUCGGGAGGAACACCAGUGGCGAAGGCGACUUCCUGGCCUGUUCUUGAUGCUGAGGCGCGAAAGCUAGGGGAGCAAACGGG
rnacentral:rRNA from 1 species